UACGUAGGGUGCAAGCGUUGUUCGGAAUUACUGGGCGUAAAGCGCAUGUAGGCGGACUGGUAAGUCAGAUGUGAAAGCCUGGGGCUCAACCUCAGAAGUGCAUCUGAAACUAUUAGUCUUGAAUAUGGAAGAGGGUAGUGGAAUUCCUGGUGUAGUGGUGAAAUACGUAGAUAUCAGGAGGAACAUCGGUGGCGAAGGCGGCUGCCUGGUCCAAUAUUGACGCUGAGAUGCGAAAGCGUGGGUAGCGAACAGG
rnacentral:rRNA from 1 species